rnacentral:rRNA from 1 species
AUGUGUCACACGGGACGUGCCGGUCUUAAGCCGGAGGAAGGUGGGGAGUGAUGUCAAGUCAGCAUGGCCUUUAUAUCCUGGGCUACACACACGCUACAAUGGCCAACACAAUAGGUUGCUAAGCCGCGAGGUGGCGCCAAUCCAUAAAGUUGGUCUCAGUUCAGAUUGUAGGCUGCAACCCGCCUGCAUGAAGAUGGAGUUGCUAGUAACCGCAGGUCAGCUAUACUGCGGUGAAUACGUUCCCGGGCUU